UCAGACCAUCAACACACUGAAGGGGAGGAUCUCAGAACUGCAGUGGAACGUGAUGGAUCAGGAGAUGCGGGUGAAACACCUGGAGUCGGAGAAGCAGGAACUGCAGGAGCAGCUGGACCUGCAGCACAAAAAAUAGCAGGAAGCCAGUCAGAAAAUCCAGGAACUCCAGGCCAGCCAAGAAGCGAGAGCAGACCAAGAGCAGCAGAUUAAGGAUCUGGAGCAGAAGCUGUCCCUACAAGAGCAGGAUGCUGCGAUUGUGAAGAACAUGAAGUCUGAGCUGGUGCGACUCCCUAGGCUGGAACGGGAGCUGAAGCAGCUGCAGGAGGAGAGUGCACGCC